AAUGAGGAUUUUACCACUGGAACUAGAAAGCUAGGCUCUGACUGGUCUACUACAGCAAGGAAUGUGCCAGGGGCUAAUCUGAUGAACAUGUGGCAGAAGAUUUGGCAAUGGGUGAAGAAACACUGAGAUUGAAAUGCAACCACAGGUGGAGGCUUCACCCAAACUUUUCAGACGGAUGCGAGAUACAAAGUUACCCAAGUAUAAAUGGUUGAAGGUUUAGCAGAGCCAGACAAGAAAGGCAGGAAAUGUGAUGUCACUUUUACUUCAAUAAACAUGAACAGCAGCAGGAGCAACAACAGCAUCAGCAGCCGAAACCUCAACUGCAAUAAGAGAUGCAGCAACCGCACCGACAACAUCAAGAGCAACAGCAAAAAUACCUACAUGUAUUACAGCAGAAAUGCAACAAUCACAUUGGCAACAUCAACAGCAGCAGGAGCUCCAACAACCAUGCAGGGAACAUCGGGCGCAACAUAAAUAACUUCAUCAAGAGAUGCAACAACCACAGUGGUAAACAUCAACAGCAGUAGCGACAACGACAGUAGAAACAAAGCCAAUGUCAAGGAUUAAGCAAUCAUACAGGAAACAACACAAGCGGCAACAUCAAUAAAUGCAUCAGGGGAUGCAACAGCCACACUUGUAAACAGCAGCAGUAGCAGCGAUGACAAGAGCAACCACACAGGCAACACCUUGAGCAACAUCAGUAGCAAUGCACCAGCAAUGAAACAAUCACAC